ensembl:lncRNA
GAGCUCAGGCCUCCAGUUCCCAACCAGGAGGGGUGGGGAAACAUCCUUCCCUACCAGUGCCGGCUGUGUCCUUGUGGGCCAAGGCAUCCGGUGGGCCCGGAGCUCGUCCUGCUGCCCUAAGUUCAGGAUCCAGGGUGGCUGGGGUGCCCCUGGUACCUGGUCCCAGUCCCUCCAUGUGGCACAACUCCAGGGGGCAUCUCGUACAUUGUCUUCUGUGAGAAAACAGGCCCAGACGGGGAAGUGAUUUGCCUAAGGCAAUACAGCUUAUUGGUAUAAGGUUGGUCUUGCAUUAACCAUUGAGUCUACAGGGCAGGAAGCGUGUCCUAGUCCCCUGCGUCUGCACAGAACAGGCACCAGUGACUGUUGAAGGACGAAGCAGCCCCCUCCCCAUCCCUGUGGCUGCAGCCACAGAGGCCCAAGCUCCAGGUCUCUAUCCAGCUACCAGCUGGCUGUAGGAACAGGACUGUAUUCUCAGAGAGGUGCCAGGGAGCAUCUCCCUACCUCCCCGCCUUGGCCCUGCCCAUCUUUUCCUUCCAGGUUGCCACCCACCGGGGACUGGAAGGUGGCUCUGAUGGUUGGUGUCACAGACCCUGCUUGUGUGGCUUGAAGCUUGGCCUUUCAGUGGUCAGAUUCUUCUGCAGCCACAGACUGGCUUCCAAUGCCAGCUUCACCUCUCUGGGUCCCCAGGGGCACGCCCUCUCCAAACCUAUCUGUCCUCACUGCAUACCCACCUCGCCAGGCCCACCCAUCUCUCAGGGACCUUCCCGGGCGGAGCUGGGAACAAAGCUCAGUUUAUGACCCUGCAUCGUGGAAACCACACCUGCCUGCCUGCUGCCCACACCUAAUCAAGGCCUCCUGAAGACCCAGGGGCUGCAGGGAAACUCCUCACACUCUUCUUCUCUCCUAGCGUCUGGGAGGUGCUGGGGGCUUGGGCUAGUGAGUGGGGAUUUCACAGCCCCGGAAGAGAGAGACGUUGCUCUAGGCUGAUUAGUCUGGUCAGAUGAUUAAUAAUUAAACCUGACCUGUUCCCAGCUACACACAUACACACCCUGCAGCCAGGAAUCAGCAGAGAUCAGGGGUAGAGAAGAUCAGCAUGGGCCCAGCUCCAACUCCCCCACCUCAUUCCAGGGUUGGGGAGAGUCUCAGGGCUCCUCCUCCUCACCUACCUAAGGUCCUACCAGUCCACUUCCUAUAUAAAGCUUUCUUGAUUUUUCCCACAGGCCUGAGCUCUGGGCAGGCUUUGGGCAAUUCCUAGGCUGCACAGGCCGGGGUGACUCUGUAGGAGUGGGAUUUGCAGAUCAGAUAGGACUUGGGCUCCACCUGUGUCAACACUCAAUUUCAACUCCAUCUUGACUUCUGCAGCCUCUCCACUUCUUAUUUAUACUCCCACUCCCCAGAGCUCUAGGAAGAGCAGGGCAUGCUCAGCACCCUGUCUGAUCUUAGCACAGCAGAAACAUUCAGCUUGGGGAGGUGGGAGCCAGUCAGCUUGGCUGCAUUCUGCCCUCAUCAUCAUGGGCUGCCCAAGUUUUUCCAAAGGUCCUUCUCUGGCCACAGGAAUCCUGAGACUCUGGUUGGCUGCUGGGCAGAUUGAAGCUGAGAAUCCAUACACAAGGGUUCAGCUAGGUGGCCAAAGUGGGGUCCCCUCCUACCCUCCUCCACUGCAGAUCAUCCUUCUAGCUUGUCCCUUGUGUUUUCCAAGGUCUUAAGGAAGCAUGAUCUCCUCUUCAGAGACCACUUCCCACCCACCCUUCCUCCUUCCAGCUCCGCAUCUCUCCAGAGCUCAGAAGCCUUUCCCACUCAGUGGAUAAUGCUCUUCUAGUACAUUGUCCUGGAGAAGGCAAUGGUACCCCACUCCAGUACUCUUGCCUGGAAAAUCUCAUGGACAGAGGAGCCUGGUAGGCUGCAGUCCAUGGGGUCGCAAAGAGUCGGACAUGGCUGAGCGACUUCACUUUCACUUUUCACUUUCAUGCAUUGGAGAAGGACAUGGCAACCCACUCCAGUGUUCUUGCCUGGAGAAUCCCAGGGACGGGGGAGCCUGGUGAGCUGCCAUCUCUGGGGUCACACAGAGUUGGACAUGACUGAAGCAACUUAGCAGCAGCAGCAGCAGUACAUUGUCCAGACUUUUGUAGUUAGAUUUUAUUUGGGCUGGGUAGGGAGGAGUAGGGUCUCCAGCCCCUGGCCUCCCUCCCUGGGCCUCUUCAACCCAGGAAAGCAGGUGAUCAUCCUGACCCCACCUUCGUCCCUCCCAGGGCUUUGUGAGGUGGAACAGAAAGGCCUCAGCCUGUUAUUUAAACACACGUGUGUAUGUGUACAUGUGUUUGUGCCUGCCUGCAUGUAUGCAUGCAAGGAUACAUGUAUAUGAAGCUUCUGGACAAGCUUGGAGGUUUUAAAAUCUGAGCCUCCCCAGGAUGCCCCAUGUUAGGUAGCACUCCAAUCCUUCCCCUGGCCAUGGCCAGGUGCACCCACCUCUGUUUUAACCCACACUGUGAUCUGCUUGUUCUCUUGUUCCCAGUCCAAGAAUUAUUUCUAUGGGAUUAGUCAAAGCCUCUUUGCCUUUCCCUUUCCUUGCUAAAGAAAAUUCUAACUGCCAAGCAUUUGGCCCUCCCUCUCUUGCUUAUUAAAAACAAACAAACAAACAGGUCAAAUUGUCAGGUUGAGGAAGAAGCAGAGGAGUGGGGUGAUGUCCUUUGAAGAUGACUGAGGUUGAUUCUCAGAGAGAAGAGGGGAGGGA